UAGGGAAUCUUCGGCAAUGGACGAAAGUCUGACCGAGCAACGCCGCGUGAGUGAAGAAGGUUUUCGGAUCGUAAAACUCUGUUGUUAGAGAAGAACAAGGACGUUAGUAACUGAACGUCCCCUGACGGUAUCUAACCAGAAAGCCACGGCUAACUACGUGCCAGUAGCCGCGGUAAUACGUAGGUGGCAAGCGUUGUCCGGAUUUAUUGGGCGUAAAGCGAGCGCAGGCGGUUUCUUAAGUCUGAUGUGAAAGCCCCCGGCUCAACCGGGGAGGGUCAUUAGAAACUGGGAGACUUGAGUGCAGAAGAGGAGGGUGGAAUUCCAUGUGUAGCGGUGAAAUGCGUAGAUAUAUGGAGGAACACCAGUGGCGAAGGCGGCUCUCUGGUCUGAAACUAACGCUGAGGCUCGAAAGCGUGGGGAGCAAACAGG
rnacentral:rRNA from 1 species